AUUGAACGCUGGCGGCAGGCCUAACACAUGCAAGUCGAACGAGUGGCGGACGGGUGAGUAAUGUAUCGGAAAGUGCCUGGUGGAGGGGGAUACCUACUGGAAACGGAUGCUAAUACCGCAUACCAUCAGAUGGGCCGGGAUGGGAUUAGGUUGUUGGUGGGGUAACGGCGCACCAAGGCGACGAUCCUUAGCUGGUAUGAGAGGAUGACCAGCCACACUGGAACUGAGACACGGCCCAGACUCCUACGGGAGGCAGCAGUGGGGAAUAUUGGACAAUGGGCGAAAGCCUGAUGCAGCCAUGCCGCGUGUAUGAAGAAGGCCUUCGGGUUGUAAAGUACUUUCAGCGGGGAGGCGGUACCCGCAGAAGAAGCACCGGCUAACUCCGUGCCAGCAGCCGCGGUAAUUC
rnacentral:rRNA from 1 species